GCCAAGACUUAUGCAAUUUUACUUGAGCUCUACGCAGUGGACUAAACUAGAAACAGAAAGAACUUUUCCAACCAAAACUCUGCAAGGAACUGAGAGCACAGAGGAGGAUGACAUGACCCAGGAAACUCAAAGACAAAAUUUUUAA
rnacentral:lncRNA from 1 species